GAUAUAAAUAGGCAAAGUAGAUGAAAAUCUAUGACGCAAAGCUAGAGGGACUGUAAAAUGUCAGCCAGUUGUACUG
rnacentral:ncRNA from 1 species